UGGGGAAUUUUACGCAAUGGGGGAAACCCUGACGUAGCGACACCGCGUGAGCGAAGAAGCCUUUUGGGGUGUAAAGCUCUGUCAGCUGGAACGAGCACAAUGACGGUACCAGCAGAGGAAGCAUCGGCUAACUACGUGCCAGCAGCCGCGGUAAGACGUAGGAUGCAAGCGUUGUCCGGAUUCAUUGGGCGUAAAGAGUUCGUAGGUGGUCUGUUAAGUUUGGUGUUAAAGAGCGGGGCCCAACCCCGAUAGUGCACUGAAUACUGGCAGACUUGAGUGCGGUAGAGGUAAGUGGAAUUCCAAGUGUAGCGGUGAAAUGCAUAGAUAUUUGGAAGAACACCGGUGGCGUAAGCGACUUACUGGGCCGUAACUGACACUGAGGAACGAAAGCCGGGGUAGCGAAUG
rnacentral:rRNA from 1 species